rnacentral:rRNA from 1 species
UGCCAGCAGCCGCGGUAAUACGGAGGGUGCAAGCGUUAAUCGGAAUUACUGGGCGUGAAGCGCGCGUAGGCGGUUUUGUAAGUCGGAUGUGAAAUCCCCGGGCUUAACCUGGGAACUGCACUCGAUACUGCAUGGCUAGAGUAUGGUAGAGGGAAGUGGAAUUUCCGGUGUAGCGGUGAAAUGCGUAGAUAUCGGAAGGAACACCAGUGGCGAAGGCGGCUUCUUGGACCAACACUGACGCUGAGGUGCGAAAGCGUGGGUAGCAAACAGGAUUAGAUA